rnacentral:rRNA from 1 species
GAUGAACGCUGGCGGCGUGCCUAAUACAUGCAAGUCGAGCGAACGGACGAGAAGCUUGCUUCUCUGAUGUUAGCGGCGGACGGGUGAGUAACACGUGGAUAACCUACCUAUAAGACUGGGAUAACUUCGGGAAACCGUAGCUAAUACCGGAUAAUAUUUUGAACCGCAUGGUUCAAAAGUGAAAGACGGUCUUGCUGUCACUUAUAGAUGGAUCCGCGCUGCAUUAGCUAGUUGGUAAGGUAACGGCUUACCAAGGCAACGAUGCAUAGUCGACCUGAGAGGGUGAUCGGCCACACUGGAACUGGGACACGGUCCAGACUCCUACGGGAGGCAGCAGUAGGGAAUCUUCCGCAAUGGGCGAAAGCCUGACGGAGCAACGCCGCGUGAGUGAUGGAGGUCUUCGGAUCGUAAAACUCUGUUAUUAGGGAAGAACAUAUGUGUAAGUAACUGUGCACAUCUUGACGGUACCUAAUCAGAAAGCCACGGCUAACUACGUG